rnacentral:rRNA from 1 species
AGAAUCAACGCUGGCGGCGUGCCUAACACAUGCAAGUCGAACGAGAAAGUGGAGCAAUCCAUGAGUAAAGUGGCGACCGGGUGAGUAACACGUGACUAACCUACCUUCAAGUGGGGGAUAACCUCGGGAAACCGAGGCUAAUACCGCAUAAUAUCGCAAGAUCAAAGCAGCAAUGCGCUGGAAGAGGGGGUCGCGGCUGAUUAGCUAGUUGGCGGGUAACGCCCACAAGGCGAAGAUCGGUAUCCGGCCUGAGAGGGCGCACGGACACACUGGAACUGAAACACGGUCCAGACUCCUACGGGAGGCAGCAGUGGGGAAUUUUGCGCAAUGGGGGAAACCCUGACGCAGCAACGCCGCGUGGAGGAUGAAGCCCCUUGGGGCGUAAACUCCUUUCGACCAAGACGAUAAUGACGGUACUGGUGGAAGAAGCACCGGCUAACUCUGCGCCAGCAGCCGC